rnacentral:lncRNA from 1 species
AGUGCUCCCAGUAUGAACCAGUAUGGACCAGUAACUCCUCCCAGUGCUCCCAGUAUGGACCAGUAACUCCUCCCAGUGCUCCCAGUAUGGCCCAGUAUGGACCAGUUUGGCUCCCAGUAUGGGGUUGGCAUUCCCAGUACUCCCAGUAUGGCCCAGUAACUCCUCCCAGUAUGGCCCAGUAUGGCUCCCAGUACUCCCAGUAUGGCUCAGUAACUCCUCCCAGUACUCCCAGUCUGGCUCCCAGUGCUCCCA